rnacentral:rRNA from 1 species
UAGGGAAUCUUCCACAAUGGACGCAAGUCUGAUGGAGCAACGCCGCGUGAGUGAAGAAGGUUUUCGGAUCGUAAAGCUCUGUUGUUGGUGAAGAAGGAUAGAGGUAGUAACUGGCCUUUAUUUGACGGUAAUCAACCAGAAAGUCACGGCUAACUACGUGCCAGCAGCCGCGGUAAUACGUAGGUGGCAAGCGUUGUCCGGAUUUAUUGGGCGUAAAGCGAGCGCAGGCGGAAGAAUAAGUCUGAUGUGAAAGCCCUCGGCUUAACCGAGGAACUGCAUCGGAAACUGUUUUUCUUGAGAGCAGAAGAGGAGAGUGGAAUUCCAUGUGUAGCGGUGGAAUGCGUAGAUAUAUGGAAGAACACCAGUGGCGAAGGCGACUCUCUGGUCUGCAACUGACGCUGAGGCUCGAAAGCAUGGGUAGCGAACAGG